CAAGUACUCCCUCCGUCCAAAAAUACUUGUCAUCAAAAUGGAUAAAAAAGAUGUAUCUAGAACUAAUAUACAUUUAGAUACAUCCCCUUUUAUUCAUUUUGAUAACAAGUAUUUCCGGACGGACGGAGUACUAC
rnacentral:pre_miRNA from 1 species